rnacentral:lncRNA from 10 species
AUGGAGACUAGCUCCACAGAAAGGAUAGGGAGUAUAGUUUCAUUCUGCCUGCAUCAUUCCAUCCUCCAUGCAACAUGGCUUAUGCCAAAAAGAUUCUUCUUGGCCCAGAAGUUUUCCUCAUGGAGAAAAAGUACAGCAAGUGACCUACCAGCUACCCUAUCUUUUCAGGUCACUUCUCUAAUGACCUGCUUCAGCUUCACUGCACCCAGAUUGCUGGGAAGAUCAGCAUGCUCAGUAUAUCUGGGAUGUCUGGAGACAGCUGGAACAAAGAAGAGCUGCAGGAGCUGUGAGUGUCAGUCACAACGUGGGUACCACUCUGGUCCUCAGUGGCCUGCUCUUCAAAGGACCCCAGCAGCCUUUACUGCCGAGGACCUCAGUAACCCUCAUGGUCACCAGAGAAUCCUCACUGCUUCCACCAAUGAGAAUCCUAUCAUGUCUGCUUCAAACACCAGAGCCACCACUAUGAAAAAAAAUAGAAUAAGAGACAAGCCAUGUAUUGGAUGAAGAGGGUGGAAAGAGUGAUCCGGCCAAGACUGAAGUGUCCUGCCACACAUGAAGCUUUGUAAAUUAUCCUACGUAUUUGAAACCUGACUUCCACACCUAGCCAUAUUUCACAAAGAUAUCAAAGUUUUAAAUUACCAUUGAGUAAAAUUGAUGCUCAGGAAGAUGACAUAUGUUCCUAUUUCUUCCAGUUUCUUCAGUCACUCUAGAUUGGAUUUGACUUGAUUUGAGCAUGUGCUUGGACCCCCAAUGAUCUCUCUUCUUCUGAACUCUUGUGAUAGUUUCUAGAUGAGGCAACUGUUGUGACAAAAAUUCCACUACCUUAUGCAAUCGCUUUGAACAGUUUUGUGAGUAUUAUCUGUGCCUGCCCUGUGGAUGCAAGCUCCUGAAGCUGUAAAUAUGCUCUAAUCUACUUAUAUAAAUGCUUACCACAGUGCUAAAUUGAUGAACAAAUCCUCUUAAUAUGUCUUAUGGCAUUCAGAGGUUUUAUGUUAUCAUCAUGCUCAUUGGUAGAAAAUAGCUUGUGUGUGUAUGUGUCUGUAUGGAUGUGUGCAUGUGUGUGCAAACACUUGAAGUAGAUCAGGAUAGAAAUACUUAAAAGGCCAUUUGCUCUUUUAAGUUAGAGAAUGACAGAAGUACCUAGCAAAUGAUUAUAUGUGUGUGCCUUGUGGACAUAUCUGUUAUAACACAAUAUGUGUGUUUCUGAAAAAAACAAAAACAAAAACAAACCCUUAUAUUCUGCAGAAUCAUUGGAUCACAAUUAAAGAGGAUAAGAGGAUUAUGCUGAACAUAGGGUCAUAGGUGGGCCACUAAAAUCAUGCAGCUUUGUAACUAAUCUACUAACACAAAUACUCCUAAUAAAAAUACUAGCAAAGCUAAUAAUAUAUUAACUUUCUAAUGAAUAUGUAAAUACUUCAAUACAUUUUGAACUUUACCUUAAACAAAAGAAACAAAGUCAGUAUAGCAGUAGCUUGAUAGAAAGAUAGAGAUUACUGAGUUGUGGAGAAAAAGGGAAAAUGGGCAGAGAUCAAGGAAAUUCAUGCCACAACCUUUCCAAGACAGAGACCAUGGCUCGGUUGAGUUCAAGUAAAAGACAUGGGGUGAGUGGGAGUCACAGAGCGAACGAGAUUUUUUCCAUGGGUGCGUCCAACAGCGGGUGACUGCUUUGAGUUUGGUUGCUAUUUCACAGGGGCACAACGUAUGGUUAACUUGCUUUAUUAAUUUUAUGUCUUUUGUUAUCAAAGUACUUUAAGACCUUCUUAUUAUGAUUUUCUCUUCUUUCUUAAUGAUGGAUGCUAUUACAGUUUUUUUCCGCGAUAUCUGAGCUUUAAGGAAUUUAGCUUUUAUAUAACGCAUAGUGACUCAGCAUAUGUACUUCUGUGUGGCUACCAUAAGGUAAUGCAUUGUCAUCUUUGUCUUGAUAAAAUUAACGUAAUAAGAAUUUUACAUAUCAUUAUGUAUUUAUAUUUUUGUGAAUAAGUAUGGAUUUUGUAAAUAAUAUCUAUUUUAGAUAGUAAAACUAGGUGAGUGCUAUGCUAAUAUUUAUAUAACAAAUUUGGAAGACAACAGGAUUGUAAAGUGGCUUUGAUAAGUAAACAUUAAAUUUAUUUUCUAUUUGAUAUAAAAUUGUGUUUCUAAUUACUUUCUUAGGAAAGAGGUUAUUAUUCAUUAAGAAUCAUCAAAUGCAUUUUAUCCAAAACUCUUAGACUGACAGGAUAAUGGAUUUCUGCUAAUAUGGUGAUUGAUGGUUGAUGCUAAGCUUGAAUAUUUUUCCCCAAAGUUAUACUAUAGAAACUCAUCUUUGGAUAAUAAUCAGCCAUAGCUAUAAAAGAUUUUCACUGAAUAAUUUGUGUUGCUCCACAUUGCACCCUAAGGCAUUGAACUGAUUACAGAAAGGUAAAUUACCUUUAUGCCAUUUUCUUCCUAUGUGGGUGGCAAGUACAAACAUUGAAUUCUAUCUUGAAUUAGAUAAUUCUUUCUUAGUCUAAC